rnacentral:tRNA from 1 species
GCUUUCGUGGUGUAAUGGUCAGCACACUUGGCACUUUAUUCGAGAGAUCCGAGGUUCGAGUCCCGGCAAGGACA